rnacentral:piRNA from 1 species
ACGGCAUUACCUGUGUUUGGAUCCUUUC